GUCUGACUGACGAGUCCCACCUGGGACGAAACGUGCGUCUUGGAU
rfam:Schistosoma haematobium scaffold9_18, whole genome shotgun sequence.